rnacentral:lncRNA from 1 species
UUUGAUCUGCUCCAGAGAUUAGAUAACUCGAAAGAUCCCCUCAGAUGAAUCGCUUUUACCUGUGCUUGGAUUCGGCAGCGGCCUCCGGUCGCUUUCCCUGUCUCUAACUCCCAUGAGCCAAGCCGACAGUCUCUUCCUCUUCCCUCCUGCUGAAGACCGCUCCUCUCUUCCGUUCAUCAUAAAAUAGAUAGGUUUUUCCCUGUGUGUCUGGUGACAAGCCAAGAGGAAAAGUUCUCUUACUCCUUCUGUCUUUGAUUUCGUUACUGUGGAUGGUGUUGUAUUUGUUUGUGUUACCUGGAAUUGUUUUGGGCUGGCACGUGGUAUGGGUCUUGUGUGUUUAUAUUCUCUCCCUUUUGGCUUUCUUUCGUUUCAGUAAUCUCUCUCUUUUCGGCUAUCCUGCGUGUUGUAGAUGGUUUUAUAAGAAUUAUUGGAGGUGCGACCUGAAGCUUUAAAACUUUUGGGACUUUGCCUUUUAUAUUAUAAGAAUAGGUUCUGUUGGAGUAUAGAGGCUCCAAAAGUGUUUUAGAAGGGAAAGAAUCUCUAUUUCCUGGCAUAUCCUGUACUAUCUCCUCUUUCUUUGCAUUCUUAGAAGGUUUUUUUUUGGCGAAGGUUGUGCUUGUUUCUCUUUUUUCUUCUAUAUAUGCACUUUGCUUGGUGAGAAAUUGGAAUUAGGGUUUGGAGGGGGAGGCAGAACAGCAGCCAUCAAACUUUAGACCUUCUGAGUGCCAGGAUCUUUGGAGGUUUAUUUAUCGACCAGAAGAAAAUGGGAAGAUCCCUCUCUCUCUCUCCCUCACGCCGCCCCCCCACCCUCCAAAAAAUAUUUGUGGAGCUUCAAGUUCAUCUGCAUUGCUUUGCGAUUUUAUUGAUCUAUUUGUCUAUGUAGUUGGAAUAUUGUUGAAGGAUUUGGUUCCCACAGGUGAUCAUGGCUUCAGUUCUCUCUGAAAUAUAUGGAUUAUCUAGUUGAUUCCCUCUUUCUUCCCUGAGAAAAAAAAGGUUGGGCUAAUUUAUUAGGAUAUAAAUCCCGGACCUUCUUCUCCAAGGGCAAGCCCUUAAAGGAGAGGUUCCAACCAACUGAGCAAACAGUUGUUGACCUCCAUUUUUUUAAUUUGCUGUUCCAGUUGUAAUGGUUUAAAGAGGUCUAGAAGAUGUGAGGUACGCAAUUCUUCUAAUAUUUUUGGAUAUUUUGUUGGAUAGGGUUGGAACUUUUCUUUGAAUAAUAACUUGAAGAAUAGAUUGAAGUUAUUAUUAUUUUCUUUUUUUUGAUGGUUUACAUCGAAGUUAGAAUCAUGCUUAAAGAUUGAUUAUUUUUUCUUUGAUUUUGG